rnacentral:misc_RNA from 1 species
CAAAAUCAGAACAAUAUCAUCAGCAAAGUUGUGUAUUAUCAUCAUUUUAAAGAAAUUUUAAAAGAUUUUUUUUUUUAUUUUGUCAAUUCUGAUUGUUAAGCAGCUCCACAUGUUCGUUGUAAACUCCACUAAAUUUGCCAAAAUGGUUACCAAGAUCGAAGUCCAUAGCUAUGAUUGAUGAAAUUAAAAUGAUUGGACAAUUGAAAUAGCAUAUAAAGUGCACAUCUUUUUUAAUCAUUUGCCCUACCAGAAUGCCAACACAAAGUUUUAUAUGCGGAAAGUGAUUAUUCACAGGCAAACUGUUCAUAGGAUAUACUGUUUUCUUAUUGUCAUUGGAGUAUGCACAGUUUGUAUUGAUUUUAUUGAUAUGCAAAGUUUUGGUUAGAGAAAGAAAGUUGUUUUAUGAUUUUAGUCAUAUAGACUUAAUGAACAAUGUGCAUAAGGCUCCAUAUGCUGAUCUACCAUUGAGAUGAUGAAGUGUAAGGACACUACUGUGGGUGGAGAUAAUGACAACAGUAUGAAAAUAUAAAAUAUGCUGAAUUUUCAGCAUGUAAAUUAUUUUGGUAUUUGUUUUAGUUUUGAUUUGCAUUUAGAAUUGUUGAGAAGAUUAAAAUAUAUAUUCUCAAUAGAAGAAGGUUGAUCUCUCUCUCUCUAAACUCCCCCAUAUAUAUAAAAGAAUGUUGUGUGUGC